rnacentral:rRNA from 1 species
CCUACGGGGGGCAGCAGUGAGGAAUAUUGGUCAAUGGAGGCAAGCCUGAACCAGCCACGCCGCGUGAAGGAAGACGGCUCUAUGAGUUGUAAACUGCUUUUGUACGAGGGUAAAAACAGAUACGCGUAUCUGUCUGAAAGUAUCGUACGACUAAGGAUCGGCUAACUCCGUGCCAGCAGCCGAGGUAAUACGGAGGAUUCAAGCGUUAUCCGGAUUUAUGGGGUUUAAAGGGUGCGUAGGCGGUGGGAUAAGUUAGGGGUGAAAUCCCGAGGCUCAACUUCGGAAUUGCCUCGGAUACUGUUCGGCUGGUGAGUAGUUGAGGUAGGCGGAAUGUAUGGUGUAGCGGUGAAAUGCUUAGAGAUCAUGCAGAACACCGAUUGCGAAGGCAGCUUACCAAGCUACUUCUGACGUUGAGGCACGAAAGCGUGGGGAGCAAACAGGAUUAGAUACCCUUGUAGUC